CUAAAUGCUUUAUUUAUUGCUAAUUUUUUUUAUAAGCACAUCCAGCCUAUGCAUAACUAAGAUGCACACGGCCAACAGCAACACACAAAUAAAAAACACCGUGAUCGAACAAUUGCUGACACAAGCUCACACACAGUGUCACACACACUGCACUAGUCUCUCGACACGUUCCCGUACGUGGUGAACGAGUCGCACGCUCUUUAUUCGGACGCGCACGCACCGUGGUUGGCGUGGACGAGACGAAGCUCCGAUGUACCAUGCUCAGAUGGAGAUGCUGUUGGGGAUGCCCUUGGCGGUGAGGCCGGCGGCGGCGCCCUUGUGGUCGGAGGUGUUGGGGUAGAGCAGCAUGUAGGGGAGCUUGGCCGGGCCGUUGCGGUUCAACAGCUGCGGGUCGUGGUUCAUGCCCACCACCUUGCUCUCGAUCUCCACCAGCCGCUCGCUGAACCGCUUGAACACCUCCAGGGCCUUGGGGUCCGAGGUCCACUCCGGCGUGUCGCGCUGCCCCAGGUAGAGCUCGUCAGAGGAGUGUUUGGACAGCACCUCCAACAGCGAGAUGCCGAUGAUGGUCUGGAUCUGGCUGGUGAUGGUGUGGAUGAAGGCCCGCUC
rnacentral:lncRNA from 1 species